rnacentral:lncRNA from 10 species
CAUAAUACAACAUACAGGGAAGGACGUACAUCCCAUGAUACAAAAUACAGGGAAGGACUUCGUGCACAUCAAAGUCUGCAAAUAGAAGAAUUCACUACUAUUCCGAUGUGCCUAAGGAUACUCCUACCAUCUAUGUCCUGAAGUUUUCACACUACAAAGACUAGCAAGAAGUGCACCUUUCUCUUAGAGUGUCAGUUUCGCUCCGGCAGUAAACUGUACCUCAAAACUAGAAGAAAGGAAGAUUUAACAUGCAACCUUCGCUUCACCAUCUCUCUUCCUUCCCAUGUUCCAGAAGAUUCUGCAUAAUGAAAACACUGUAAUCUCUCAAGAAAUAUCUCAUAAAGAGUGCAUGAGAAAAUCCCUUCUCCCCAGAGCUUAUUUCUCUCGCAUUUUAAUUCUGAAUGAAGGGAUCAUAAAAGCAUAUCAAGAUCCAUGUUGCCCCACAAAGGACAUUCUGAGGCAACCUGAAUGCCCCCCCACCCACGUGAGAUAGCAAGUGAUUUUUAAGGGAUGGAGUAGGCUAUAAAAGGGAGUCACUGGGAGACAAAAGGAGUAAAUGGAAGAGGGAAAGGAAAGGAGAAGAAGAAGGCACUGAGGCUGGCGUCACAGUCUUGUAUGGAGGCAGAGUGAAUGGUGCAAUGAAAAGUUCCCAGAAGGGUAAAUCAGAGGACCCAUAUUUAAAUCUUGAAUUCCCUACCUAUUGGUUGCAUAAUGUUGAAUCCAUCACUUAAUCUUUUAAUCUUCAGCCUUCCCAUCUGUAAUACGUGAACAAUAAUUACACCUUUCUUAAAGAGUUACUGGAGGAAUUAAAUAUAAAUGUGUGAAUAAAACAUACAAAUUAUUUUAUAACAAAAAAAGAACUUUUUUUCUUUCUUCAAAUGAAGAUCCAAGCAGGAAGAGGGAAUCCACAGUGUGUAUGAAUGAGUGACUGCAUGUGUGUGUGUGUGUGUGUGUGUGUACGUGUUAUGUAAAACUUACUGCCAUAGAUGUUUGGGGAAAAUGUGUUUCCUUUUUAUGUUGAAGCUGUUAAUCAUUU